GUCUACAGCCAUAUCACCCUGAACACACUUGAUCUCCUCUGAUCCUCAGAAGCUAAGCAGGGUUGGGCCUGGUUAGUACUUGGAUAGGGAAAAAAAAAAAAAGCUACUACC
rnacentral:rRNA from 1 species